rnacentral:rRNA from 1 species
GUCUGACGGANCACGCCGCGUGAGUGAUGAAGGUUUUCGGAUCGUAAAGCUCUGUUGUUAGGGAAGAACAAGUGCCGUUCAAAUAGGGCGGCACCUUGACGGUACCUAACCAGAAAGCCACGGCUAACUACGUGCCAGCAGCCGCGGUAAUACGUAGGUGGCAAGCGUUGUCCGGAAUUAUUGGGCGUAAAGGGCUCGCAGGCGGUUUCUUAAGUCUGAUGUGAAAGCCCCCGGCUCAACCGGGGAGGGUCAUUGGAAACUGGGGAACUUGAGUGCAGAAGAGGAGAGUGGAAUUCCACGUGUAGCGGUGAAAUGCGUAGAGAUGUGGAGGAACACCAGUGGCGAAGGCGACUCUCUGGUCUGUAACUGACGCUGAGGAGCGAAAGCGUGGGGAGCGAACAGGAUUAGAUACCCUGGUAGUCCACGCCGUAAACGAUGAGUGCUAAGUGUUAGGGGGUUUCCGCCCCUUAGUGCUGCAGCUAACGCAUUAAGCACUCCGCCUGGGGAGUACGGUCGCAAGACUGAAACUCAAAGGAAUUGACGGGGGCCCGCACAAGCGGUGGAGCAUGUGGUUUAAUUCGAAGCAACGCGAAGAACCUUACCAGGUCUUGACAUCCUCUGACAAUCCUAGAGAUAGGACGUCCCCUUCGGGGGCAGAGUGACAGGUGGUGCAUGGUUGUCGUCAGCUCGUGUCGUGAGAUGUUGGGUUAAGUCCCGCAACGAGCGCAACCCUUGAUCUUAGUUGCCAGCAUUCAGUUGGGCACUCUAAGGUGACUGCCGGUGACAAACCGGAGGAAGGUG